rfam:Rathayibacter sp. VKM Ac-2121 genome assembly, contig: Ga0139026_14
CACGAGCCGAUGACGGCGGACCGGACGAGGGAGCAGUACCCGGCAGCGCGACAAGACUGACUCGAA